AGAGCGAACGCUGGCGGCAUGCCUAAUACAUGCAAGUCGAACGAACUCUUCGGAGCUAGUGGCGCACGGGUGCGUAACGCGUGGGAAUCUGCCCUUGGGUUCGGAAUAACAGUUGGAAACGACUGCUAAUACCGGAUGAUGACGAAAGUCCAAAGAUUUAUCGCCCAGGGAUGAGCCCGCGUAGGAUUAGCUAGUUGGUGAGGUAAAGGCUCACCAAGGCGACGAUCCUUAGCUGGUCUGAGAGGAUGAUCAGCCACA
rnacentral:rRNA from 1 species